rnacentral:sRNA from 1 species
AAGGGGGAGAAAGACAAGAAAGGGAAGGAGAAAGACAGGACGGGGAAAGGAGAGAAAGAGCCGGCCAAGGAGUGGAAGGUGCCGAAGAAGAAGAAAGAGCCGCCCAAGGAGCUCCGGCAGGACCCCCCCAUCCUCCAGGUGCUGGGCCGGGGCCUGGUGAUCCUGGAGCCCCUGCUCGCCGGGGAGCCCCUGGUGUCCACCGUGUGCAACUUCGGCGUGGUCCGCACAUUGACAUCUGACAGGCUGACGUUGGCCAGGGAUUCAAAGAAGAUUAAGAAAGUUGCCAAAAAAGCCAGGUGCGGUGGCGGGUGCCUGUAAUCCCAGCUACUCAGGAGACUGAGGCAGGAGAGUCGCUUGAACCUGGAAGGCAGAGGUGGCAGUGAGCUGAGAUUGCGCCAUUUCACGCCAGCCUGAAGAAGUAAACGUUGGAGGGCAUAUGCUACUGGACUUCAAAACCCAUGCCUAUAUGAACAUGUGAUUUGUGAUACUUAUCUGUGGGUUAAGAUGGCCUUAAAAAGGUUUUUUUUUUUUUUUUUAUCUCUUUAAUGUUUGGCUUAAUUGAAGACAGCUGGAUUCUUACAGCUACUUCUGCAGUCAACUGCUUGCAAUAUGUUGCUGUAAUUGACGUGCACAAAGAAAAUCCAACCUCAGGCCCAUAAUUGGAAAAGAGGGAGUAUUUUAAUAGACCUUAAAAUAAUAUAAUUUCUUUAAUAUUACACCAAAUUUGACAAGUGGUAAUU